rnacentral:rRNA from 1 species
UCGCACGAGAACGUUCUGGCUUUGCCAGGACAAGUACAGUGGCGGACGGGUGCGUAUCGCGUAGAUAACCUGCCCUUAGGCGCGGGACAAUCACGGGAAACCGUGGCUAAUACCGCACGUCGUCUGGGCCCCGCAUGGGGACCAGAUGAAAGCUUGGGGUUACCCAGGCGCCUUGGGAUGGGUCUGCGUUGGAUUAGCUUGUUGGUGAGGCAACGGCUCACCAAGGCAACGAUCCAUAGCUGGUCUGAGAGGACGAUCAGCCACACUGGGACUGAGACACGGCCCAGACUCCUACGGGAGGCAGCAGUGGGGAAUCUUGCACAAUGGGGUCACCCCUGAUGCAGCCAUGCCGCGUGGAGGAAGACACCCCUAUGGGGCGUAACUCCUUUUCUGAAUGAAGAAACCCCUGUAGGUUCAGGGCGCGACGGUAGUUCAGGAAUAAGCACCGGCUAACUCCGUGCCAGCAGCCGCGGUAAUACGGAGGGUGCAAGCGUUGUCCGGAAUCACUGGGUGUAAAGGGUGUGCAGGCGGGGCAACAAGUCGGAUGUGAAACCCCAUGGCUCAACCAUGGAGGUGCAUUCGAAACUGUUGCUCUUGAGUCCCGGAGAGGCUGUCGGAAUUCGUGGUGUAGCGGUGAAAUGCGUAGAUAUCACGAGGAACACCAGAGGCGAAAGCGGGCAGCUGGACGGGUACUGACGCUCAGGCACGAAAGCGUGGGGAGCAAACAGGAUUAGAUACCC